ensembl:lncRNA
CUUUAUCCCAGUCAGGGUCACCGUGGAUCCCAGAUUAAUGGAUUCAUUCCAGAUGUUUUCACAAGGGCUAUACAGAUGGGACUAGUUUUAUAUGGGAAAGCUGGGUGAUGUAAUAAUUACCAGAGCUUCUCUGUGAUUUUAAUCCUGUGUGAACUGGUCAUGUCAGCUAUUUUUCCGGACUUUCUUCCCGGACUGUGCAGGGAAGGUUACGGUGUCUUUUACCUGCUAUAAAAACCCCUGUAAAGAUAAACCCAGGUUAAUGUAAUCCCGUGCGAACUGACCGAUACACAGAUUCAGGUAUGACUUGAUUGAUUGGGUUUGGAUAAACAACCAUCUUACUCUCAUUUAUUAACAAAGACUGAUUAAAAAUAAAUCAAAAUGAAUUCAGUCUAAAAAGCAGCUUAAAAAUAUGUGGGAAAAAAUAAUAAUAAUGAAAUAAAAAAGAAUGAAAUCUUUUUUGAUUGUCCAGAUAAUUUAGUUGCAGAAAAUCAUGAGAAUAAAAACAACGCCAGGGUGCCGAGACUUUCUCUCCUGCGCUAACAUGUCCGCCGCCUCAGCUUUCCACGCGUGACGUACUACUGAAAGCCAGUCGUAUAAACGAAUUUCCGUACACGAGCCAAAUUUCUUACAACAUGAAAAGAAAUCUGUAUAAAGAGGUAACGGUGAGUUUUAUGAGAUCCAGCUCGUUCUGUUAAACACGACAUCAACACUGACUUGAAUUUCUAUUCCUCCAUGCUGUAGUUUAAUAUGAUCACAGCUUCAGCUCUCAUGUGCAAUAUGUCGUUCCUGUAACGUGUAAAUAACCACGUGUGCUUUUUAAAUGAUUCCUUUUUACAACAUACUGAACAUAUUUUCUGGUAUUUCUUCGUAUCUGAAGGUGGAAAUGAUUUUGUUUCCCUUUUCUGUUUGUUUGUUUUUUGCUUCUUUUUUUGUCCCCCUCACUAACAGAUGAACGUUUCUCUCGUGCCGUCCCCGUCACUUUGGAAAAAACGUGACGAACGUUCCUGUAAAUAUGAACUUAAAGAAAUGUUUCUCUAUUCUAUGUAAUUACCAGAUGUUUAAAAAAGCGAGUUAUUUUAUCUAUUUAAAACGGAGCGUCUGUGACGACGGUAUUGGUGGUCUUUCUUAGAUUUAGUGUGCCUUCCUAAACAUUUCUGCAUCAUUCAGAUUUCAAAUAUUAAAAAAAGGUCUAAAACAUGAAAUUUAUAUUAGAAGUGUAACGUUUCGGCUGCUCACGAUGAAAAAAACCAAACAAAGCAAUUUUAAAAAUGAUACGAGACUAGCUUCACCUUUAGCAUGGGUUUAAAAAUAAAUCGAUGGUUUGAUCAAGAUUUCAGCUCCAGUUAGUCCCAAUAAAUGAAGAAGAAUAAUUAAAAGGAUAACAGUGAAGAAGUAAGCCAUGAUGUGGGAUUACGGUGGCGCUGGUGGUUCUGUUUGAUCUCUAUUCUGUACUGACGUGUUGGUUUUGCUGGUCGUGGCCUCGAGUGAACACUGUGUACAUAAUGUACAGCUUGGACCGUGUCUUUAAAAACACAUUUCCUGUUUCUGGAAUGGAGAAAAGGCCAGUUACAUCCGAAAUAUAUGAAUAUAAAAAAACUGCAGUGAAUUUUUAUUCAAAUAAAUUUCCUAAAACG